rnacentral:rRNA from 1 species
UACGAAGGGGGCUAGCGUUGCUCGGAAUCACUGGGCGUAAAGGGUGCGUAGGCGGGUCUUUAAGUCAGGGGUGAAAUCCUGGAGCUCAACUCCAGAACUGCCUUUGAUACUGAAGAUCUGGAGUUCGGGAGAGGUGAGUGGAACUGCGAGUGUAGAGGUGAAAUUCGUAGAUAUUCGCAAGAACACCAGUGGCGAAGGCGGCUCACUGGCCCGAUACUGACGCUGAGGCACGAAAGUGUGGGGAGCAAACAGG